rnacentral:rRNA from 1 species
AAAUUGAAGAGUUUGAUCAUGGCUCAGAUUGAACGCUGGCGGCAGGCCUAACACAUGCAAGUCGAACGGUAACAGGAAGCAGCUUGCUGCUUCGCUGACGAGUGGCGGACGGGUGAGUAAUGUCUGGGAAACUGCCUGAUGGAGGGGGAUAACUACUGGAAACGGUAGCUAAUACCGCAUAACGUCGCAAGACCAAAGAGGGGGACCUUCGGGCCUCUUGCCAUCGGAUGUGCCCAGAUGGGAUUAGCUUGUUGGUGGGGUAACGGCUCACCAAGGCGACGAUCCCUAGCUGGUCUGAGAGGAUGACCAGCCACACUGGAACUGAGACACGGUCCAGACUCCUACGGGAGGCAGCAGUGGGGAAUAUUGCACAAUGGGCGCAAGCCUGAUGCAGCCAUGCCGCGUGUAUGAAGAAGGCCUUC